AUACAUGCAAGUCGAGCGAAUCGACGGGAGCUUGCUCCCUGAGAUUAGCGGCGGACGGGUGAGUAACACGUGGGCAACCUGCCUAUAAGACUGGGAUAACUUCGGGAAACCGGAGCUAAUACCGGAUACGUUCUUUUCUCGCAUGAGAGAAGAUGGAAAGACGGUUUACGCUGUCACUUAUAGAUGGGCCCGCGGCGCAUUAGCUAGUUGGUGAGGUAAUGGCUCACCAAGGCGACGAUGCGUAGCCGACCUGAGAGGGUGAUCGGCCACACUGGGACUGAGACACGGCCCAGACUCCUACGGGAGGCAGCAGUAGGGAAUCUUCCGCAAUGGACGAAAGUCUGACGGAGCAACGCCGCGUGAACGAAGAAGGCCUUCGGGUCGUAAAGUUCUGUUGUUAGGGAAGAACAAGUACCAGAGUAACUGCUGGUACCUUGACGGUACCUAACCAGAAAGCCACGGCUAACUACGUGCCAGCAGCCGCGGUAAUACGUAGGUGGCAAGCGUUGUCCGGAAUUAUUGGGCGUAAAGCGCGCGCAGGUGGUUCCUUAAGUCUGAUGUGAAAGCCCACGGCUCAACCGUGGAGGGUCAUUGGAAACUGGGGAACUUGAGUGCAGAAGAAGAAAGUGGAAUUCCAAGUGUAGCGGUGAAAUGCGUAGAGAUUUGGAGGAACACCAGCGGCGAAGGCGAUUUCUGGUCUGUACUGACACUGAGGCGCGAAGCUGGGAGCAAAAGGAUAGAUACCUGGUAGUCACGCGUAACGAUGAAUGCUAUUUAAAGGUUCCGCCUUUAUGCU
rnacentral:rRNA from 1 species